rnacentral:lncRNA from 1 species
CCAAAAUAAAGAUAUAGGACAAAGUAUUAUUACCAAUACGUGGUGAAUUAGCAUAUGAAGCCCAUAAAAUUCAGAUAAAUGGAUGAAGAUAAAGGAUGAAUAAGCAUAUAUGGGUACAACUUGGAGGAGACUUAAAGCUCAAACAACUAUGGAGAAGAACAGUCUAUUUAUGCAACACGAGAAGGCUACCUCCAAAUUAUGCAGCCAAAUAUUUGACUUCUAAAUUAAAAUAAAAGCACUAGCAUAAUCUAUUUCAAGUAUAGAGGUGAUGCAUAAUCAGAUUGCCUCAGAGCAUUAUACAUCGUGGCACCUAAUAUAUGCACGCAUCCAUGACUUUGAGACAAAGUAUGUGCUUCAUCACAAAGUAUUCACUUUUCAUGUCCUUAAUCCGGAGGCUGAAUUGAAAUGCCCAUGGCCUCUCUUAUACUAAUGGACAGAGAGCUUACCUUCUUGGAUGAUUGGAUGAGGCCCUCCACUUCACCAGAAAGCUUACCUUCUUGGAUGGUUGGAUUAGGCCCCCACUUUACCAAUUCAAAAUUGACAGAAUGUUCUCUAUUUCUCUUUUCUUUUCUCUUUUAGAAGGUGGAAAAAAGAGAGAAAACAAAAACUUUGUUCACAUUAUUAACUUCAUAUUUUCUAGACCAACUAUUUUAAUGAAUUAAGUAGGUAUUCUUGAAAUUAGAGUCUGAAAAAGGAAAUCUCACAUACUUUUAUAGAUGUGCCAUACAGCAUAUGUCUCUUAAUUUAAACAUUUCCGACUGUUUAGUUAAUUUAAUUGCUAUCGUGCAUCCAAGGCAACCCCACAGUAUUUACUGUUCAUGAUGCCUAACCAUCAGUGCUAAGUUCAAAAGCUUAACCUAGAGUCCGAGACGAAAGGGGUCCAGAUAAUGGAGGCAAUGCCAUAGCUGCAGUAACUCAGCACAGUUGCAAGAAAACGUGAGAAUUAUCAAGGUCUGCAAAUAAUAUGAGGCUCAACAGAAACAAAUAUUCAUCCCUAUUUGUAGCCAAAAUUAUACAACUAGCUUUUAGAAAUGUAAAUCUGCUCAUGAAUGAACUGUAAGACAGUUAGCACAACUUGUUAGCUGCCAAGUAUUCAUCCAAGGCAACCCCACAGUAUUUACUGUUCAUGAUGCCUAACCAUCAGUGCUAAGUUCAAAAGCUUAACCUAGAGUCCGAGACGAAAGGGGUCCAGAUAAUGGAGGCAAUGCCAUAGCUGCAGUAACUCAGCACAGUUGCAAGAAAACGUGAGAAUUAUCAAGGUCUGCAAAUAAUAUGAGGCUCAACAGAAACAAGUAUUCAUCCCUAUUUGUAGCCAAAAUUAUACAACUAGCUUUUAGAAAUGUAAAUCUGCUCAUUAAUGAACUGUAAGACAGUUAGCACAACUUGUUAGCUGCCGAGUUGCAUGCUUAUCCACCACUUUGGUGAAAUGCAUGUGUUUGUGUAUAUAUAUAUAGAUAUAUUCAACUCAAUAAAUCUAUUUGGAAACUUACACC